AGUUAUGAGGGGCACCGACUUUAAAAACAAGAGUUGUGGGAAAAAAGCUUUGCAUGCCGAGUAACAAUAGCGCGGUCGGGUCGGGUCAGGUAUAUGUACGAAAAUCGGGCAGGUAUACAAAUGCUCAUAACUUCGUCAAUUUUGCUUUAAUUGACUUGAAAUUUUAACACAAUAUUCUUCAGAUAUCAUACAUUCAAUUUAAAAAAUAAAAAAAAACGUGAAAAAAAAAUUAAAUACCCUAAAUUUUAAAUACCUGUAAAAUUCCGCACUGAGUCUUUUGCAGUCCCUCCUUAGAGUACUAAAACGGUUGUAAUUGUGUCGGUUUUCCUUUUUCUUGUAUUGAGUGUGUGCUGAUUUUUUGAGUUUAAUCUUGUUUAUGAGUUCAUAGGAGAACCAGCAGUGAUAGGUACUGAUAGAUUUUUUGUGAACAGGUAUUGUGAUAUUCCUACUUCAAGAGUAUUGUAUAACCAAUUGACUUUACUUUCAAUAGUGUCCAGUGCGUACAGUACCGCCCAAUUGACUCGGUGAAAGAAAACGUUGAGGCUGACGUAAUCAGUUUUCUUGAAUGAGUAAGUGGCUGGAUUAAAAUGUUCUAAGUUGAGUUGAAAUUUUAAAUUUAUGAUGAAGGCACGAUGAUAUUUGUCCUCAAGAAUGAGAUGUAGAGUUUUAUCCACGGAACCCUCAACAUUGCUGAAAUAUAGGUCCAGAAGAUUGUUCUGGAGGUUGUUUAUUUUGAUUAUUUGGAUUCAUUCCAGUAAAGCAAAUCCAUCGUAUACAAAUUUUUCGCAAUCGGCUCUGGGGGUGCUGCUUGACAAGUUGAAGUCUCCUACGAUUAUUAGCUUUGCGUUAUUGUAUUUCACAUUGAUAUAGUUUAGAGUUGUAAGUAGUUUACGAUAAGUAUACACAUCCAACAAUAAUAUCAAGUACAGUACCUUUGAUUUUUCCGAAUACCAAUUCCAAAUCUCUUUCAUCUGUGGUAAUUAAAUCAGCAUGGAUAUGACGUUUGACGGCGAUGAAGACGCCGCCACCACGAUCUAGGCCAGUGCAUAUAGGAUCUCUAUCUCUUCUAAAAAUGGUAUAAGUGCUAUCAGUCACCUAGCCAUCGUUAAUUGACGAGUUUAACCACGACUCAGUGAUACCACUAGCCGCUGAUACUGUCAUAAACUUAGACAGCUUUGUCCGAAGGCCUCUGGUGUUUUGGUAUAAAUCUGAAGGGUCUUCAGGUUUCUUUUUUUUACUGAUCGAACGAAAAUUCUUGUUCACUAUCUGCGGUACUCCUCGAAUGUAUUUGAUGGUUUUGCCUGUGUCACCAUUUUUUCCAAGAGUAUCGAGUUCGGAUCGUAGUUCACUGAGAAUAGAUUGCUGUGCUGGAGUCUGAUCAGAUUUGAAAGUAGCUGUCAUUCCAUCACGUUGGUUAAGCUUGAAAAUCUCCCUAGCAUCGGUCGCUGAACGAGUCUCGAUGAGCAGGGGACGUGUACGGCCGGUUGCCGGACGACCUAGUCUUCGAACUUUGAAUUGAGGAAUCUUGGCAGAGAUUUCAGGGGGUACGAUUGCCGAGAGCAAAAUUUCAUCGGCUUCCAUUCUGUCAUUACCAGCAGCAUUAGUAGAUUCGGUGAUGCCAAGGGCAAUGACAUUACUCUCUCACCUUUUUCGAUCGUUCAUCUCCCUUAUGAUGUCUUCCGGAGAUGAUACAUUCCUGUAGGAGUUGAGCUUAUUUUCUACAGAGGAGAUCCUGUCACUCAAGUUAGAAUAUUUUUUUUCAAUGGCAACGCUCUGCUUGGAAAGCUUGUAUACUUCUUUCUUGAGUUCAGCGAUACUCUCCCCGAUGGUUUGUUUAAAAUUAUCAAAUUUAUUAUUGAAUGUUUGGGAAAACUGUUCGAAUUGCUUCUUGAGAAUUGUUUCGAAUUUAUCAAUUCUGUCAUCUCCACUAACAACAGGCUCCUCGUCAGAUGCAAUAUCGAUGUCUCUAACACUAACCUCAAAUUCCUUGCAUACGGUGCAUCUCCACUGUAUAUCAUGUUUUUUGAUAUUAGUAGCAAUGAGCAAUCAGUUUCAGACAUUCAACGUGGUACCAUUUCUGACAUAAUGCACAUCUUAGACCUUUUGUAUCUUUCGUACUGGUUCUGAACAGCUACCGCAUGCGCUAGUAUCAACUUGCUUCUUAAGUGGCAUGUUGAAUAUUAAUGUAUUCGCACUUAUAAAUGUUAAACAGACGUGAGUAGAUCACUAUUGUUGUGCAACAAGGGCAGGAGUAAAUAAAUUAUACUUAUGAGUUUA